rnacentral:tRNA from 1 species
GUGCCUGUAGCGCAGUGGAUAGCGCGUUGGACUUCUAUUCCAAAGGUCGUCGGUUCGAAUCCCACCUGGGAUA